CCCAUUGAAAUUGCGCCUGCGCUCGCCUACUUUAGGUCUGUCCCUCGGGACUAUGAACAUAAACGCGCACGUAAUAACCGGAUUGGACCAGGGGGCGGUACCCUGCGCCUCCACCAUCAUCUCUCAUUUGGGGACUUUGGGGGCGAAAUAGGAUCGACAAACGUCUAAAGGUGUUUGCUUUGUUUCGGUGAGUUACCACCGUUAUCGGUACAUCAAAGCUAGUUGCAAAUGACAACAAAGCUCCGAUGGCUCUCGCAGCGUAAGCUGUGCGAAACGUCGAAAAUUAAGCCCUUGCGCCUAGCAGCGUAAGGCGGGGUUCGCAGGCACCUGGCAACAGAAGCCUGCACU
rnacentral:tmRNA from 1 species